UGGGGAAUAUUGCACAAUGGGCGCAAGCCUGAUGCAGCCAUGCCGCGUGUAUGAAGAAGGCCUUCGGGUUGUAAAGUACUUUCAGCGGGGCGGAAGGGAGUAAAGUUAAUACCUUUGCUCAUUGACGUUACCCGCCGAAGAAGCACCGGCUAACUCCGUGCCAGCAGCCGCGGUAAUACGGAGGGUGCAAACGUUAAUCGGAAUUACUGGGCGUAAAGCGCACGCAGGCGGUUUGUUAAGUCAGAUGUGAAAUCCUCGGGCUCAACCUGGGAACUGCAUCUGAUACUGGCAAGCUUGAGUCUCGUAGAGGGGGGUAGAAUUCCAGGUGUAGCGGUGAAAUGCGUAGAGAUCUGGAGGAAUACCGGUGGCGAAGGCGGUCCCCUGGACGAAGACUGACGCUCAGGUGCGAAAGCGUGGGGAGCAAACAGG
rnacentral:rRNA from 1 species